CGGGGGUCUUCAUAUAUAUACAUAUAAUAUAUAUAUUUAGGAGGCUGACAGGUUUGCCAGCUCCAUCACCGCAAAUUGAGAUGAACACCCAAAAAGAGACUUGCGCAGAAUUGUGGACCAUCACUUACCAAAACUUCGUAGCAGAUUUCCCUCAGCUCCUUCUCCACACGCUCUCUGUACUCACGGGCGAGCUGCUGUUUUCUAGCGGAUGCCUCGGUUUUCUGCUCGAUGGAGGA